rnacentral:rRNA from 1 species
GAUGAACGCUGGCGGCGUGCCUAAUACAUGCAAGUCGAGCGAAUGGAUUAAGAGCUUGCUCUUAUGAAGUUAGCGGCGGACGGGUGAGUAACACGUGGGUAACCUGUCCAUAAGACUGGGAUAACUCCGGGAAACCGGGGCUAAUACCGGAUAACAUUUUGAACCGCAUGGUUCGAUAUUGAAAGGCGGCUUCGGCCGUCACUUAUGGAUGGACCCGCGUCGCAUUAGCUAGUUGGUGGGGUAACGGCUCACCAAGGCAACGAUGCGUAGGCGAGCUGAGAGGGUGAUCGGCCACACUGGGACUGAGACACGGCCCAGACUCCUACGGGAGGCAGCAGUAGGGAAUCUUCCGCAAUGGACGAAAGUCUGACGGAGCAACGCCGCGUGAGUGAUGAAGGCUUUCGGGUCGUAAAACUCUGUUGUUAGGGAAGAACAAGUGCUAGUUGAAUAAGCUGACACCUUGACGGUACCUAACCAGAAAGCCACGGCUAACUACGUGCCAGCCGCCGCGGUAA